UUGGCAAGGCAGGAGACAAGGACUGGCAGGAGGCGGCAGAGAAGAGGACCUGCCCAGCCUUCCCCAAAAUUUUACAAAUGCUGGAAGAUAAAAGCGCAGAGACCGGCAUGAAUGGAGUGGGUUUUUAAGAGACGGUGUUUAUCAUCAAGAUGCCUCUGAUGUGCGUAAUUUGGAUUCUGAUGCAUUUCUGGGUUGUUUGUUGAAUUAUGCAUCAGCAGCUUCUACUGCCGUAAAAGUGCCACUGUCACGCGGCUGCUCGGAAGCCUACAGCAGCGGAGACAGUUGGGCUCACAGUUUGGAUACUGAGAUCUGGCUUUGAUGAGAGAGAACCAGCAGAGAGAGGGAGGCAAGAAGUGGGGAGAAGGAGCUCCUGGGCAUUUGUGAAUUGGAAUACAUCAAAAUGAUCAACUUCCUUUCUUGCUCAACUCCAAUCCACCUCCCAUCCCAGGAGAAAAAUAAAAUAAAAUUAAGCCACAUCUAGAGAGACAAAC